GUUAACUCCAGAGUCAGCUUCCCCCACAUCUGCACUCCCUCUGCUGCAGGCCUGAGCUCUCCAUGUCCCUGUCACUCUCUCAGCUGCCACCGGAGGGCGCUGGAGAACGGGCCUGAGCAGAGAGGCAGGAGCUCCUCUGCAGAUCCUCCCAGGCACCACCCCUUCUGGGAGGAAGGCUUGGGAGUCCCUAAGACAGAUCCUCAGUCACUUCCCUCUGCCUGUGACUCAGGAAGACCUGCUCCCCGCACUGUGCUAGGGAUCACUUCCUUGUUGAGUGGGACCUGAGUUUUGAGAGGGUGUUGUGCUCCUCUUCAUCUGGUCCCUUUUCUUCCGAGGCCCGAGAGAGGAAGGCAUGGGGUGGGCCCUAGCCCUGCUUCUAGCUUUCCUGCCUCCUGCCAGUCAGAUAUCUUCCAACUUGGAAGGGAGAAUGAAGUCAGUCACUGGGACAACUGGGUCAUCUGCUGUAAUCAUUUGUGAUCUUCCUGGAGAAAAUACCUUAUACAUCCACUGGUACCUCCACCAGGAGGGGAAGGCCCUACAGUGUCUUCUGUACCAUGACCGCUCCAACCCCAGUUCAGGGAAGUAUAAUAGUUUUCCAAUCACUAGGAGGAAGUGGAAAUUGAAACUGCAAAAUCUAAUUGAAAAUGAUUCUGGGGUCUAUUAUUGUGCCACCUGGGACAGGCACAGUGGUUCAGACCUGCCCUACACCACACUGAAAACCUGCCAUGUGGCUGCUCCUGCUGCACAAGACAGAGCUGCCCCCUCUCAUUUCCUGCCACCGAAUUUACUGCAUUCUGUACAAAGUAAAACACAGCUUCACCCCUGA